UACGUAGGGUGCAGGCGUUAAUCGGAAUUACUGGGCGUAAAGCGUGCGCAGGCGGUUUGCUAAGACAGAUGUGAAAUCCCCGGGCUUAACCUGGGAACUGCGUUUGUAACUGGCAAGCUAGAGUGUGGCAGAGGGGGGUGGAAUUCCAAGUGUAGCAGUGAAAUGCGUAGAUAUUUGGAGGAACACCGAUGGCGAAGGCAGCCCCCUGGGCUAACACUGACGCUCAUGCACGAAGGCAUGGGUAGCGAACGGG
rnacentral:rRNA from 1 species